UACGUAGGUGGCAAGCGUUGUCCGAAUUUACUGGGCGUAAAGAGCGCGCAGGCGGUCGGAUAAGUCGAAUGUGAAAGCCCCCGGCUCAACUGGGGAGGGUCAUUCGAUACUGUUCGACUCGAAGGCAGGAGAGGGAAGUGGAAUUCCCGGUGUAGUGGUGAAAUGCGUAGAUAUCGGGAGGAACACCAGUGGCGAAGGCGACUUCCUGGCCUGUUCUUGACGCUGAGGCGCGAAAGCUAGGGGAGCAAACGGG
rnacentral:rRNA from 1 species